AUUGAACGCUGGCGGCAGGCCUAACACAUGCAAGUCGAGCGGAUGAGUGGAGCUUGCUCCAUGAUUCAGCGGCGGACGGGUGAGUAAUGCCUAGGAAUCUGCCUGGUAGUGGGGGACAACGUCUCGAAAGGAACGCUAAUAACGCAUACGUCCUACGGGAGAAAGUGUGGGAUCUUCGGACCUCACGCUAUCAGAUGAGCCUAGGUCGGAUUAGCUAGUUGGUGAGGUAAAGACUAACCAAGGCGACGAUCCGUAACGGGUCUGAGAGGAUGAUCAGGCACACUGGAACUGAGACACGGUCCAGAAUCCUACGGGAGGCAGCAGUGGGGAAUAUUGGACAAUGGGCGAAAGCCUGAUCCAGCCAUGCCGCGUGUGUGAAGAAGGUCUUCGGAUUGUAAAGCACUUUAAGUUGGGAGGAAGGGCAGUAAGGUAAUACCUUGCUGUUUUGACGUUACCAACAGAAAAAGCACCGGCUAACUUCGUGCCAGCCGCCGCAGUAAAAC
rnacentral:rRNA from 1 species